AGAAGUCACUAGGAUGGCUAUCCACUCAUCAGUACUUACUCAAAGUUACAGUUGUGUAGAUAGUUUUUUGACUUAUGGUACCUCGACUAUUCAUAGUGGGGUUGCUAUAGUUUGACUGUAUAAUUACUUGAUUAUCUAGCCAUUCAAAAUCUUGCAGUAUAUGUUGGCUACAAUAGACCUAUUGUAGGAAUAAAGUAUGCACCAAGAUGGGAUCUGUCGACUCUGAU
rnacentral:lncRNA from 1 species